AAACAUUCCUCACAUUGCACAAACUACUGUGUCUAGUUGCUUAGGAGUGCAACAGGCUACAGGGCAUUGCUCAGUAGACUUAAAAUUAGGGAAUUCAAGUGAUUUGGAGGACAAGUUGGAAAAAUUUGCAGGUCCAGAGGACUCUUUAAUGGAGUCAUCAUCGUCUGGAUCAUCGAAAAGAGUUCGGACACCUUCCGGUGCAAACCAAGUCCCUACGUGCUUGGUUGAUGGAUGCACUUCAGAU
rnacentral:misc_RNA from 1 species